rnacentral:rRNA from 1 species
GAAGCGAUGAAGGACGUGGCUACCGGCGAAACGUUUCGGGGAGUUGGAAGUAGGCUUUGAUCCGAAAGUAUCCGAAUGAGGAAACUCUUAAACUUCUUACUGAAUCUAUAAGUAAAGAAAGAGCAAACCUAGGGAAUUGAAACAUCUUAGUACCUAGAGGAAAAGAAAGUAAAAACGAUUCCCUUAGUAGUGGCGAACGAAAAGGGAAGAGCCUAAACUUUUAGAAAUCUAUUUUUAAAAGGGUUGUGGGAUAGAAAAAUCUGCUUCAUUGAAAAAUGAAAAGGAAACCAAAAAACUUUGUUAAAAAGUUUUUCGAAAUUAGGUGAAAUAACUGGAAAGUUAUACCAAAGAAAGUGAUAGUCUUGUAACCAAAAAUUUCAACAAAUAAUUCUAAUCCCGAGUAGCAUGGGGCACGUGGAAUCCCGUGUGAAUCUGCGAGGACCACCUCGUAAGGCUAAAUAUUCCUGGAUGUCCGAUAGCGUAUAGUACCGCGAGGGAAAGGUGAAAAGAACCCCGGGAGGGGAGUGAAAUAGAACGUGAAAUUGCAAGCCCACAAACAGAAGGAGAACGACUUAGCGUUUAACUUCGUGCCUGUUGAAGAAUGUUCCGGCGACUUAUAGUUAGUGGCAGGUUAAAAUAGAGAUAUUGGAGCCAUAGUGAAAGCGAGCUUGAAUAGAGCGUCUCGUCACUAGUUAUAGACCCGAACCCGGUUGAUCUAACCAUGGCCAGGAUGAAACUUGGGUAACACUAAGUGGAGGUCCGAACCGACUGAUGUUGAAAAAUCAGCGGAUGAGUUGUGGUUAGGGGUGAAAUGCCAAUCGAAACCGGAGCUAGCUGGUUCUCCCCGAAAUGUAUUUAGGUGCAGCGGUUAAUAUUAUAGCGUAGGGGUAAAGCACUGUUUCGGUGCGGGCUGGUAAUUCGGUACCAAAUCGAGGCAAACUCUGAAUACUACGUGUACAGUUAACCAGUAAGACUAUGGGGGAUAAGCUUCAUAGUCAAGAGGGAAACAGCCCAGAUCACCAGCUAAGGCCCCUAAAUAAUUACUAAGUGAUAAAGGAAGUGGAAAGGCUUAGACAACCAGGAGGUUUGCUUAGAAGCAGCAAUCCUUUAAAAAGUGCGUAAUAGCUUACUGGUCUAGCAAUUCUGCGCCGAAAACUUAUGGGACUAAGUAAUUUGCCGAAGCUGUGAGAUAAUUUGUUUUUUUGUAGAAAAGAUAAAUUUUUUUAUCUUAAAGUUGAAAAAUACUUACAAAAAAUAUUAAAAAAUUAUCGGUAGGGGAGCGUUCUGUGGUAGGUUGAAGUGUUAGCGAAAGCGGGCAUGGACGAAACAGAAGUGAGAAUGUCGGAUUGAGUAACGAAAACAUUGGUGAGAAUCCAAUGCUCCGAAAACCUAAGGUUUCCUCCGCAAGGCUCGUCCACGGAGGGUGAGUCAGGUCCUAAGGUGAGGCUGAGAAGCGUAGUUGAUGGACAAUAGGUUAAUAUUCCUAUACUGAUUAUUACUGGUAUCGAGGGACGAAGAAGGCUAAACUAGCCAGAGAUUGGUUACUGGUUUAAGAGAUUAAGGUGUUGAUGAUUAGUGAAAAUAAUCUGAGCUGAAAUCCAAAUACAAGAUUUUUAAAAUCAAAGUAGUUGAUGUCAUACUUCCAAGAAAAGCUCGCUAUGCCUUAAGUAAUAAUCACCUGUACCUUAAACCGACACAGGUAGGUAGGUAGAGAAUACCAAGGAGCGCGGGAGAACCCUCCUUAAGGAACUCGGCAAAAUAGCUCUGUAACUUCGGAAGAAAGAGUGCCUUUUAGGCUGCAAUAUCAAGUUCCAAGCAACUGUUUAGCAAAAACACAGGUCUCCGCUAAGUUGUAAGACGACGUAUGGGGGCUGACGCCUGCCCAGUGCCGGAAGGUUAAAGAAGUCGGUUAGCGUAAGCAAAGCUGGUAACUGAAGCCCCGGUGAACGGCGGCCGUAACUAUAACGGUCCUAAGGUAGCGAAAUUCCUUGUCGGGUAAGUUCCGACCCGCACGAAUGGCGUAAUGAUUUGGAAGCUGUCUCGAGGAGGGACUCGGUGAAAUAGAACUGUCUGUGAAGAUGCGGACUACCUGCGCCUGGACAGUAAGACCCUAUGAAGCUUUACUGUAUCCUGAAAUUGGAUUUCGAUUUUAUUUGCGCAGAAUAGGUGGGAGACUGUGAAAAUAUUCUUUCGGGAAUAGAUGAGUCAUUAGUGAGAUACCACUCUUAUAAAAUUAAAAUUCUAACUUCAUACCGUUAGCCGGUUGAAAGACAGUUUCAGGUGGGCAGUUUGACUGGGGCGGUCGCCUCCCAAAAGGUAACGGAGGCGUACAAAGGUUCCCUCAGAUCGGUCAGAAAUCGAUCUUAGAGUGCAAAGGCAAAAGGGAGCUUAACUGUGAGACAAACAAGUCGAGCAGAGACGAAAGUCGGUCUUAGUGAUCUGACGAUGCUGUGUGGAAAGGUCGUCACUCAACGGAUAAAAGUUACUCUAGGGAUAACAGGCUGAUCUCCCCCAAGAGUUCUUAUCGACGGGGAGGUUUGGCACCUCGAUGUCGGCUCAUCGCAUCCUGGGGCGGAAGUACGUCCCAAGGGUUGGGCUGUUCGCCCAUUAAAGCGGUACGUGAGCUGGGUUCAGAACGUCGUGAGACAGUUCGGUCCAUAUCCGGCGUAGGCGUUAGAGUAUUGAGAGUGACCUUUCUCUAGUACGAGAGGACCGAGAAAGACAUACCUCUAGUGUACCAGUUAUCGUGCCAACGGUACACGCUGGGUAGCUAUGUAUGGUUAAGAUAACCGCUGAAAGCAUCU